rnacentral:rRNA from 1 species
AGAGUUUGAUCCUGGCUCAGGAUGAACGCUAGCUACAGGCUUAACACAUGCAAGUCGAGGGGCAGCAUGGUCUUAGCUGCUAAGGCCGAUGGCGACCGGCGCACGGGGUGAGUAACGCGUAUCCAACCUGCCUUACACUCUUGGACAGCCUUCUGAAAGGGAGAUUAAUACAAGAUGUUAUCAUGAGUAAGCAUUUUUCGCAUGAUUAAAGGUUUACCGGUGUAAGAUGGGGAUGCGUUCCAUUAGAUAGUAGGCGGGGUAACGGCCCACCUAGUCUUCGAUGGAUAGGGGUUCUGAGAGGAAGGUCCCCCACAUUGGAACUGAGACACGGUACCAAACUCCUACGGGAGGCAGCA